rnacentral:rRNA from 1 species
UACGGAGGAGGCAAGCGUUAUCCGGAAUUAUUGGGCGUAAAGCGUCCGCAGGUGGCACCUCAAGUCUGCUGUCAAAGACCGGGGCUUAACCCCAGAAAGGCAGUGGAAACUGAAGUGCUAGAGUGCAGUAGGGGUAGAGGGAAUUCCCGGUGUAGCGGUGAAAUGCGUAGAGAUCGGGAAGAACAUCGGUGGCGAAAGCGCUCUACUGGACCGCAACUGACACUCAGGGACGAAAGCUAGGGGAGCGAAUGGG